rnacentral:tRNA from 1 species
UAUAUUUUAGUAUAAAAGGUAUAAAAGUUUUUGAAACUUUAGGUAGUAAUUAUUAAUUACUAAAUAUAA